rnacentral:lncRNA from 1 species
CACCUGGGUAAAGGACUGUGCUGGCCAGGAUGCUCUUAUACAAGAAAGAAGGAUUAAUGUGUGCUGCUGCUGUUCUGAAGGCCUCAGCAGCUCUGCACUGUGGGAAGGCAGUCCCUGGCCGUGCCGGAGGUGUCCCAGAAGGGCCAGCACUGUUAAUGCCACAAAGGCUGAGCAGUUGCCUGUUCCUGAAAGCUAGCUAGCCAUUGCCUAUUGUGGGAGUGGGAGAACAAUGGAACAAAUGCAACUGCCAGUUUGCAUACCUAUUGCAUCUGGAAUGGUGUGGCGGGAUUCCUAUACAGCUCCUGCAGCUGUAGAAGGUAGAGGACCAUUACAUGUCCAAGGUACCAAAUACAGGAGUGACUAUACCAAGGUGUGGUGUAGUGAGCCUGUGCUAGGAUUCAGCUUAAGAAGUGUGGAUCUCAGUUCCGCUGUGCUGUAAACCUGAUUACGGAAUGGACCGUUUCCCACUUGGAGGGGGUAUACAUUGUUGUGCACCUCCAAAAGAAAACUGGGAGCCAGGCACUGUUGAUCUGCAGUGUGUGAACCUGGAAUGAGGCCAUUGGCGCUGCUCAGGGAAGCAGUGGAGCUCCCAGCCCAUGAGCAUGGAGUUGCCCCACGGACUCUUCCACUGAAAAAGUGUGGAUGAACGGAGACAGCCAGAUAUUCCAGUGCAGACUUCCCUGCGCUACUAAUUUAAGAUUGCUGUUCAGACUGAAAUUUCCAUGUUGGCUCAUGAUGAAUCCAUAGUCUAUAUGCAGUUCUUGAGAGAUAUUUCCGUAUCCUGAAAUAACAGGAGACUUGUGAUGCAUCUCUUCAUGACCCUGCAGUGCUCCACAACUCAUAGGAUGAAGGACUGAUGACACCACAUUGUUGUACAACAGAACAGUCACUGCGCAACAAUCCUUCAUUUAAAGUCAAUACAACUGAACUGAGGAGUUAAUAAGACUUGCACGCUUCCAUGCGAGGGUUUGAUGUGAUGAGUUCACAUACCUGUCACUUCCCUGGGAUAUGAGCAGCUGCCAGAAACCCCUCUGGCUGCCGUCAAUCCGGCUCAAGAUACCUUGUCAGGAGUGGCUCGAACAGGAGAGAGCGCUGUUUGUAUCCAUACAGUAUUCAAACCCCACUGUUGUCAGAGCAAGGAAUCAUAUUUCCCCAGCGCCUGCCCUCUGGGUAAGAAAAGGCAAACAUAUCAUACAGGUACUAUGAUAAGUCUCCUAGAGAUGUCUCUG